rnacentral:rRNA from 1 species
CACGUAGGGCGCAAGCGUUGUCCGGAAUUAUUGGGCGUAAAGAGCUCGUAGGCGGUUUGUCGCGUCGAAUGUGAAAACCCGGGGCUCAACCCCGGGCCUGCAUUCGAUACGGGCAGACUAGAGUUCGGUAGGGGAGUCUGGAAUUCCUGGUGUAGCGGUGAAAUGCGUAGAGAUCCGGAAGAACACCGGUGGCGAAGGCGGCCUGCUGGGCAGUAGCUGACACUGAGGCGCGACAGCGUGGGGAGCAAACAGG